GCGUCGCACCCGCAGAAGCCACGGUGCGACUCGGGUUCUUGGUCGUCCGUGUUCCCUCGGCCUACAACGCUAUCCUCGGACGACCCGGACUGAACGCCCUUCGCGCGGUGGUCUCUACGUACCACUUGCUCAUGCGGUUCCCCACGGCAGUCGGGAUCGGGGAGGUCCGAGGCGACCAACCGACCGCACGGCAAUGUUUCCUAGCGACCCUCAAAGGGAAGAAGCC
rnacentral:lncRNA from 1 species